rnacentral:rRNA from 1 species
GAUCAUGGCUCAGAUUGAACGCUGGCGGCAGGCUUAACACAUGCAAGUCGGACGGUAACAUAAAGAAGCUUGCUUCUUUGAUGACGAGUGGCGGACGGGUGAGUAAUGCUUGGGAAUCUAGCUUAUGGAGGGGGAUAACUACGGGAAACUGUAGCUAAUACCGCGUAGAAUCGGGAGAUGAAAGUGUGGGACCGUUCGGGCCACAUGCCAUAGGAUGAGCCCAACGUGGGAUUAGGUAGUUGGUG